rnacentral:rRNA from 1 species
CCCUUAGAUGCCCUGGGCCGCACGCGCGUUACACUGAUGCAUUCAACGAGCUUAUAACCUUGGCCGAGAGGCCUGGGCAAUCUUGUUAACGUGCAUCGUGAUAGGGAUAGAUUAUUGAAAUUAUUAAUCUUGAACGAGGAAUUCCUAGUAAACGCAAAUCAUCAAUUUGCAUUGAUUACGUCCCUGCACUUUGUACACACCGCCCGUCGCACCUACCGAUUGAAUGGUCCGGUGAGGACUCGGGAUUUUUACCAGUUUCCUUCAUUGGGAAUUGGUGAGGAGAACUUGUCCAAACCUUAUCAUUUAGAGGAAGGUGAAGUCGUAACA